CAAUAGCGUAUAUUUAAGUUGUUGCAGUUAAAAAGCUCGUAGUUGGAUUUCGGAUGGGAUUUGCCGGUCCGUCGUUACGAUGUGCACUGGCCAGUCCUAUCUUGUUGUCGGGGACUAGCUCCUUGGAUUCACUUCCUGGGACUAGGAGCUGACGAGGUUACUUUGAGUAAAUUAGAGUGUUCAAAGCAAGCCUACGCUCUGAAUACAUUAGCAUGGAAUAACACGAUAGGACUCUGGCUUAUCUUGUUGGUCUGUGAGACCAGAGUAAUGAUUAAGAGGGACAGUCGGGGACAUUCGUAUUUCAUUGUCAGAGGUUAAAUUCUUGGAUUUAUGAAAGACGAACUUCUGCGAAAGCAUUUGUCAAGGAUGUUUUCAUUAA
rnacentral:rRNA from 1 species